CCUACGGGAGGCAGCAGUGGGGAAUAUUGGACAAUGGGGGGAACCCUGAUCCAGCCAUGCCGCGUGUGUGAAGAAGGCCCUCGGGUUGUAAAGCACUUUCAGUGAGGAAGAACGCCUGGUGGUUAAUACCCAUCAGGAAAGACAUCACUCACAGAAGAAGCACCGGCUAACUCCGUGCCAGCAGCCGCGGUAAUACGGAGGGUGCGAGCGUUAAUCGGAAUUACUGGGCGUAAAGCGCGCGUAGGUGGCUUGAUAAGCCGGUUGUGAAAGCCCCGGGCUCAACCUGGGAACGGCAUCCGGAACUGUCAAGGUAGGGUGCAGGAGAGGAAGGUAGAAUUCCCGGUGUAGCGGUGAAAUGCGAAGAGAUCGGGAGGAAUGCCAGUGGCGAAGGCGGCCUUCUGGACUGACACUGACACUGAGGUGCGAAAGCGUGGGUAGCAAACAGGAUUAGAUACCCGGUAGUC
rnacentral:rRNA from 1 species